rnacentral:rRNA from 1 species
GGGACACGUGAAACCCUGUGGGAAGCAGGAGGGACCACCCUCCAAGGCUAAAUACUACCUAGUGACCGAUAGCGUAUAGUACCGUGAGGGAAAGGUGAAAAGAACCCCGGGAGGGGAGUGAAAUAGAACCUGAAACCCUGCACUUACAAGCUGUGGAAGCACAUUUCUUGUGUGACCGCGUACUUUUUGUAGAACGGGCCAACGAGUUACGUUAAGUAGCAAGGUUAAGCACUUAAGGUGCGGAGCCGUAGCGAAAGCGAGUUUUAACUGAGCGUUCAGUUACUUGACGUAGACCCGAAACCGGGCGACCUACCCAUGAGCAGGAUGAAGCGAAAGUAAAAUUUCGUGGAGGUCCGAACCCACGAGCGUUGAAAAGCUCGGGGAUGACUUGUGGGUAGCGGUGAAAUUCCAAUCGAGCCCGGAGAUAGCUGGUUCUCCCCGAAAUAGCUUUAGGGCUAGCCUCAAGGUGAGAGAUACGGAGGUAGAGCACUGAAUGUCCUAGGGGGUAUUGCACCUACCGAAGACUAUCAAACUCCGAAUGCCGUCAUCUUAUACUUGGGAGUCAGACUGUGGGUGAUAAGAUUCAUAGUCGAAAGGGCAACAGCCCAGAUCGUCAGCUAAGGUCCCUAAAUGUAAGUUAAGUGGUAAAGGAUGUGGGAUUGCACAGACAACCAGGAUGUUGGCUUAGAAGCAGCCACUCAUUCAAAGAGUGCGUAAUAGCUCACUGGUCGAGUGAUCCUGCGCCGAAGAUUUCCGGGGCUAAAACUUACUACCG